GAGGGCCGAGUGAAGACAAUGUACAGUUGAGGGGUCAACUGUACAUUGUCUUCACUCGCCCCU
rnacentral:pre_miRNA from 1 species